ACGGGGCGUGGCUUCUGCCGGGUGUGGGCGGGGCCCUGGCGGGCGGGACCCGGGUCUGGGCUAGGCUGGCGGGGUCCCGGCCGGUGCCCCCCGAGCCACUAGCAGCCCCGGGAGGGUGGAUUCGGAGGCGCGGGGAGUGGAGGCGGCCCACUGCAGGGCUGAGCGUCGCAGCGUGCUGUUUUGGAUGAACGCUCCCCCAGAUCCCUGCCAUGAAGCCCGCAGUCAGCUCGGCGGCUGAUGACAGCCAAUGGCUGACGCGGACCUCGUUGAAUAAAUGGCUGCGUUUGCGAGCAAACGAGUAACGUUCCCUGCACGCUCCCCAGUUCGGAUAUCGCAGCGUCGUCCCACCGUGGGUACUGGUUUUGGUCCUUCGGCACGGAUUCCGCCCCCGCCGAGUUAGAAAGCCGGCCUCAGGCCGGAGGAGGACUGACGAAGGACGGAAACCCUGCAGGCGUGCGCGUGACCUGCUGGCCCAUCCUGUGUCCAGCACACCGGACCGCAAGGAAGCCGCAGGCGCAGCCCCGCAAGUGCCCCUGCUGAGGCUGGCCCUGAGUGGCCCAGAUACACGGGGUGGGUCCACCUGGGUGCAGACCUGGCAGGCCCUGUGGGGGGUGGAGGCGGGAGUAGGGGUGCUUCCUGCAGUGGUGUUUGGACUUGAUAACAGCAGAGGGCACCGCUGGCAUGAGGGACAGGUGACUCCGAUGACGCUGCACCACCACAGCUGCACAUCCAAAAUCUUGGCGCUUCAGCAACUCCGAAGCCUGAAACCGACUCACGUGUUCGCGAACGAAUAAACGAAAUGCGGUCCAUCCAUGCAAUGGAAUAGCGCUCAGCCUUAGAGAGGAAGGAAAUCCUGACACAUGCCACAACGGGGAUGACCUUGAAGACGUUAUGCUGAGUGAGAUAAGCCAGUCACAAAAAGACAAAUACAGUACUGUGUGAUUCCACUUACGUGAGAUCAUAAUCUGGAGCAGUGAAAUCGUAGAGUGGAGUGGGGGUUGCCAAGGGCUGGGAAGUGGGGAAUGAGGAGUUAGUGUUUAAUGGGGGCGGAGUUUCAGUUGAGGAAGAUGAAAAAGUUUUGAAAAUUGGUUGCACAACAAUGUGAAUUGUGAAUUGACACUACUGAACUGUGCAUUU